CCUACGGGCGGCUGCAGUGGGGAAUAUUGGACAAUGGGGGGAACCCUGAUCCAGCCAUGCCGCGUGUGUGAAGAAGGCCCUCGGGUUGUAAAGCACUUUCAGUGAGGAAGAACGCCUGGUGGUUAAUACCCAUCAGGAAAGACAUCACUCACAGAAGAAGCACCGGCUAACUCCGUGCCAGCAGCCGCGGUAAUACGGAGGGUGCGAGCGUUAAUCGGAAUUACUGGGCGUAAAGCGCGCGUAGGUGGCUUGAUAAGCCGGUUGUGAAAGCCCCGGGCUCAACCUGGGAACGGCAUCCGGAACUGUCAAGCUAGAGUGCAGGAGAGGAAGGUAGAAUUCCCGGUGUAGCGGUGAAAUGCGUAGAGAUCGGGAGGAAUACCAGUGGCGAAGGCGGCCUUCUGGACUGACACUGACACUGAGGUGCGAAAGCGUGGGUAGCAAACAGGAUUAGAUACCCCAGUAGUA
rnacentral:rRNA from 1 species